rnacentral:piRNA from 1 species
UGAUGAAACGCCAAAACUACAAUGAUUCUAGC